rnacentral:rRNA from 1 species
CCUACGGGAGGCUGUAGUGGGGAAUAUUGGACAAUGGGGGGAACCCUGAUCCAGCCAUGCCGCGUGUGUGAAGAAGGCCCUCGGGUUGUAAAGCACUUUCAGUGAGGAAGAACGCCUGGUGGUUAAUACCCAUCAGGAAAGACAUCACUCACAGAAGAAGCACCGGCUAACUCCGUGCCAGCAGCCGCGGUAAUACGGAGGGUGCGAGCGUUAAUCGGAAUUACUGGGCGUAAAGCGCGCGUAGGUGGCUUGAUAAGCCGGUUGUGAAAGCCCCGGGCUCAACCUGGGAACGGCAUCCGGAACUGUCAAGCUAGAGUGCAGGAGAGGAAGGUAGAAUUCCCGGUGUAGCGGGGAAAUGCGUAGAGAUCGGGAGGAAUACCAGUGGCGAAGGCGGCCUUCUGGACUGACACUGACACUGAGGUGCGAAAGCGUGGGUAGCAAACAGGAAUAGAUACCCCGGUAGUC